UGGAAAAUUCCAUCUCUCCCCAAUGCAUCUUAAAAUUGUCACUUGCUUGAUUUUGUUUUGUUUUAAGAUUCUAUUUAUUCAUGAGAGACACAGAGAGAGAGAGAGGCAGAGACAGAGGAAGAGGGAGAAACAGGCUCCAAGGAGAGAGCCCAAUGCGGGGCUCCAUCCCAGGACUCCAGGAUCACACCCUGAGCCAAAGGUAGAAGCGCAACCACUGAGCCACCCAGGCGUCCCUCACUUGCUUGAUUUUGGAUGGAGUCUUACACUCCAGGCUGUAGAAGCACAUGAACUUACUAUGUUUGGCCUCAGGAUGAGAUGCAGCACACUGACAUGCUCAAUAUCUGCUGAACAGAUGGACGGAGAUAUAAAACCAAAACCUGGGCACCUCACCUGCAAGGAGACCUUCAGCCUUCAAGAGCAGCCAUGGCUCGUGAUCCCAAGAAGCAUCUGAAGCAUGUAGCCGAUUCGAAGCAUUGGAAGCUGGAUAAACUGGCCAGUGUGUUUGCCCUCAUUCAUCUACUAACCUCCCUAAGCUGAGAGAAUGUCUCCCUCUCAUCUUUUUCUGAGGAACAGACUUAAGUAUGUCCUAACAGGAGGUGAAGUAAAGAUCUGUAUUGCACCAUUUUAUUAAGAUUGAUGGCAAAGUCUGAACUGAUAUAACCUACCCUGCUGGUUUUAUGGAUGUCGUCAGCAUUGACAAGACUGGGGAGAAUUUCCAACUGAUCUAUGAUACCAACGGUUGCUUUGCUCCUCAUCAGAUUACACCUGAGG
rnacentral:lncRNA from 1 species